rnacentral:rRNA from 1 species
UACGAAGGGGGCUAGCGUUGUUCGGGAUUACAGGGCGUAAAGCGCACGUAGGCGGGUGGUUAAGUCAGGGGUGAAAUCCCGGAGUUCAACUCCGGAACUGCCUUUGAUACUGGCCAUCUAGAGAUCGGAAGAGGUAAGUGGAAUUCCCAGUGUAGAGGUGAAAUUCGUAGAUAUUGGGAAGAACACCAGUGGAGAAGGCGGCUUACUGGUCCGACACUGACGCUGAGGUGCGAAAGCGUGGGGAGCAAACAGG